GGGACAGCUCACGCCUUAAGCCAGACCUUGAAACCCGAGCUUUCAGAAGGAAAGGAAGGACGACUCUCGUGCCCUUCUGCCCUCCACCGUGGGAUGAUAUAGCAAGAAGACCCCCACCAGAUGCAACCCCUUGAACCUGGACUUCCCAGCCUCCAGAACUAUGAGCCAAAUGAAUUUCUUUUCUUUAUAAAUUACUCAGUCUCAGGUAUUCUGUUGUAGUAGCACAAAACUAAGACACUGCCCAGUAUACCAGCUACAUGUGACUAUCAAGCCC
rnacentral:lncRNA from 1 species